rnacentral:rRNA from 1 species
CCUACGGGAGGCAGCAGUGGGGAAUAUUGCGCAAUGGGGGAAACCCUGAUGCAGCGACGCCGCGUGAGUGAAGAAGUAUUUCGGUAUGUAAAGCUCUAUCAGCAGGGAAGAAAAUGACGGUACCUGAUCAAGAAGCCCCGGCUAACUACGUGCCAGCAGCAGCGGUAAUACGUAGGGGGCAAGCGUUAUCCGGAUUUACUGGGGGUAAAGGGUGCGUAGACGGCAGGACAAGACUGGGGUGAAAUGCCGGGGCUUAACCCCGGAGCUGCUUUGGAAACUGUGCAGCUAGAGUGCAGGAGAGGUAAGUGGAAUUCCUAGUGUAGCGGUGAAAUGCGUAGAUAUUAGGAGGAACACCAGUGGCGAAGGCGGCUUACUGGACUGUAACUGACGUUGAGGCUCGAAAGCGUGGGGAGCAAACAGGAUUAGAUACCCCAGUAGUC